rnacentral:rRNA from 1 species
ACGGAGGGGGCUAGCGUUGUUCGGAAUUACUGGGCGUAAAGCGCACGUAGGCGGCUUUGUAAGUUAGAGGUGAAAGCCCGGAGCUCAACUCCGGAAUUGCCUUUAAGACUGCAUCGCUCGAAUCAUGGAGAGGUGAGUGGAAUUCCGAGUGUAGAGGUGAAAUUCGUAGAUAUUCGGAAGAACACCAGUGGCGAAGGCGGCCAUCUGGACGGACACUGACGCUGAGGCGCGAAAGCGUGGGGAGCAAACAGGA